GACAGAGGCCUCAAGCGUUAGGCGGAAUCACUGGGCUUAAAGCGUGUGUAGGCGGAUCGUUAAGUGUCUUGUGAAAUCCCACGGCUCAACCCGUGGAACGGCUGGGUAUACUGGGCGGUCUUGGGCCAUUCAGGGGGCGACUGGAACAAGCGGUGGAGCGGUGAAAUGCGUAGAUAUCGCUUGGAACGCCGAAGGUGAAAACAGGUCGCUGGGGGAUGUGCCGACGCUGAGACACGAAAGCCAGGGGGAGCAAACGGG
rnacentral:rRNA from 1 species